CUUGCUCGAAGAUGCUCUUGGUCUGAGAGUCGAAUCGGAGCCAUAGUCCAAUGGCAAGGACAGCAAUCCCGGCAAGCCAGAAGAUGAAGUUAAAUCCGAACAGCAGGUAUUUGAUGCACUUGGUGCCUCCUUUGACCGGCAUGGUGAGGGCUAACUUAGCCUGGGCCGAACGGGUGCGGGACUGGGGGGCGCGCGCAGCUGGGACUGGCGGGACCUGGCGCUGGAUACAGAU
rnacentral:lncRNA from 1 species